UUCUGCCAAUGGGACAUAUAAACCUUCCCUAGCUCACAUGUUGGGAUGGGAGGCUUAGGAUUGCAAGCAUAUCAUUGUUGUGGCUUUUAACUGAAAGACUGCUUGGGGGAGAAUUCGGAACGAGUGGUAUCCUUCCUUUUUGCCUUCCACAACUGAAUUUGAAGAAAAUAUUAUUUGUUAUAUGGGAUAGCUCUGGGGCACUUCUGUGCAUGGGGUAUGCUGCGGGCAAAAGGAAGAACAAGGAAGGGAUAGAGGUACAGCUCGAAGUAGAUGGGAUGAUAAUAAUGGAUGACAGAGACAAGGAAGAAUAAUCUUCAAACUAGGAAGACGAGAAAAAAUGGUUAACAGAGAGUUGAAACUCAAGUUAAGUGAGAAAGGUGGUAAAAGAGUACUUAGCGUUCCCUAGUCAGCUCAAUUCAUCAGGCCCAGACAAUGUUUCAACAUACUGAAAAAACUGGUGGAUAUUAUUGCUUACCUGCUGAAGGCAAUCUUUGAAAAAAUAAUGGAGAACAAGAGAGGUACUGGGAAACUGGAGAUAGGCAAAGGUAGAUUCUCCAAACUAUAAAAAAGUGAGAGCUUGGCUGAGAUGCUUGACAUAAUUCUAGAACGUAUUAUU